rnacentral:rRNA from 1 species
UACGAAGGGGGCUAGCGUUGCUCGGAAUUACUGGGCGUAAAGGGCGCGUAGGCGGACAUUUAAGUCGGGGGUGAAAGCCCAGGGCUCAACCCUGGAAGCGCAUUGGAUACUACGGAGCUUGAGUCCUGAAGAGGAGAGCGGAAUUCCCGGUGUAGAGGUGAAAUUCGUAGAUAUCGGGAGGAACACCAGUGGCGAAGGCGGCUCUCUGGACAGGUACUGACGCUGAGACGCGAAAGCGUGGGUAGCAAACAGG